rnacentral:sRNA from 1 species
UAUCUCUAAUACUCUAAUACAAUCAAUUCACUUUUUCUUUGUCCAAAACAUCUAGAAAAU